ensembl:lncRNA
AGCCAAGGUGAGGAAGGGGGUGCAGAUCCUGAGUACCCAGACCAGCGAGCGCUGGCACAGGCAACAGGAGGUAGGCAGUGCCACCACCACUGUGUCCUGCCAGUGCCUGGCACAGGUAGCAUUCAACAGUGGCAUCACGUACUUGCUGUGUCCCAUGACUUGGAAGCCAGUCUCUAAGCAGGGGCCACCCACAAGCAGCUGACCCGACCUCAGGCUGUGAGCCCGGGAGGUGGGGCCUCCCUAGCUCCCCUGCCAGCUGCUGCACACUGGACAGGUCUUCCAUGGAUGUUCCCUCUGGUCACCCCUGAAGGACAGAAACAAAAAGGAUGCAUGGGGGACACAGAAAAAGUGCAUCCCAGCAGUCAUCCUUAGGUGAACUGGCUUGUGUACCCAGAAGAUGAACGUAUGCAGAGGAUAUUCCUGGAAGGAAUGUGGAGUCACUUGGGAAAAUGGUCAAGACAGGAAAUCCCAGCAACAGCUGGCACCUCAUCAGUGUCACUCCUUCUGUUCUACAUGGACCACUGCUGCCCUGAGAUAAGUAACUCAAAAUUUCCACCACUACUGCAUACGUCUUUGAUGUCAUCCUAUGGCAUUCUGUGUGUAGGACUCAUGCUUUCUGGUAGUAGUUCCAUGGUUUUUGUCUUGCAUAAGCAUAGGCAGAAAGUCCAGCACAUCUGUAGCACCAACUUCUCUCCAGGAUACUCCUGUAAUUCCAGAAUCACCCAGAGCAUACUUAUCCUUGUUCUCCAUGGAUUAAAUCAUCAACAGUGA